CAGCCCCUCGAGUGGUGGGGAUGAUUAUUUGGCCUAAAGCGUCCGUAGCCGGCCGAGUAAGUCCCCCGUUAAAUCCAGCGUCUCAAGCGUUGGACUGCGGGAGAUACUACUUGGCUAGAGAGUGGGAGAGGUCAGCGGUAUUCUGGGGGUAGGGGCGAAAUCCUUUGAUCCCCGGAGGACCACCAGUGGCGAAGGCUGCUGACUAGAACACGUCUGACGGUCAGGGACGAAAGCUGGGGAGCGAACCGGAUUAGAUACCCGUGUAGUCC
rnacentral:rRNA from 1 species